AUUGAACGCUGGCGGCAUGCUUUACACAUGCAAGUCGAACGGUAACAGGCCGCAAGGUGCUGACGAGUGGCGAACGGGUGAGUAAUGCAUCGGAACGUGCCCAGUCGUGGGGGAUAACGCAGCGAAAGCUGUGCUAAUACCGCAUACGAUCUAUGGAUGAAAGCGGGGGACCGUAAGGCCUCGCGCGAUUGGAGCGGCCGAUGUCAGAUUAGCUAGUUGGUGGGGUAAAGGCCCACCAAGGCGACGAUCUGUAGCUGGUCUGAGAGGACGACCAGCCGCACUGGGACUGAGACACGGCCCAGACUCCUACGGGAGGCAGCAGUGGGGAAUUUUGGACAAUGGCGCAAGCCUGAUCCAGCAAUGCCGCGUGCAGGAAGAAGGCCUUCGGGUUGUAAACUGCUUUUGUACGGAACGAAACGGUCUGGGUUAAUACCCUGGGCUAAUGACGGUACCGUAAGAAUAAGCACCGGCUAACUACGUGCCAGCAGCCACCGUAACAC
rnacentral:rRNA from 1 species